AAGCUUGCGCCAUGUCCCCGCUCCUCUUGAAAUGCAUCAGCGGAUGACUGCCUUUGCUUCAACCCGGUGCGGCGUGAUAACUAUCUACGCCGCAGUCGGCAACGGCUCUGGCCUUGGACUUCUGCUUCGAACGGUCGCGUACGAGCGACGGCCUUUGACAAUUUGACCUCAAAUCAGGCAGGAUUACCCGCUGAACUUAA
rnacentral:misc_RNA from 1 species